ACUGUCUCCUUUCCGCCUGGUAUGUUUCUCGUUGCUUCAACUGCUUGCUGCUUUUUCGCUUUAUCUUUCUACCCUCCAAAGUUUGCUACUUUAAGUUUUUCUUCACCGUCUUUUGACAAUCUUGAUGAGGGUAAACUUGUCAAGAUGUUCUUCUUUGAAAGUCAGUUCUAAUAUGGGCUUUUUAUAAUCAGCAAUGGCCCAAGUGCAUAACCAUCCCCUACCUCCGUUCCUAUCCAUCCACAGAGAACAAACUUUUUAAGAACAUCCAAGAAGAUGUUAAAAUUAGUGUUCCAGAA
rnacentral:misc_RNA from 1 species